rnacentral:rRNA from 1 species
UACAGGGGGAGCAAGCGUUGUUCGGAUUUACUGGGCGUAAAGGGCGCGUAGGCGGCACUGCAAGUCAGUUGUGAAAUCUCCGGGUUUAACCCGGAAAGGUCAACUGAUACUGCAGGGCUAGAGUGCAGAAGGGGCAACUGGAAUUCUCGGUGUAGCGGUGAAAUGCGUAGAUAUCGAGAGGAACACCUGCGGCGAAGGCGGGUUGCUGGGCUGACACUGACGCUGAGGCGCGAAAGCCAGGGGAGCGAACGGG